rnacentral:lncRNA from 1 species
UAUAAAAUCAAUCUUAUUAUUCUUUGUAUUUUGGUGAACUAAUUUCCAUUUAUUUCUCUUUUCUUAGAACUAUUUAUAUAAUAGUAUAUAAAUUUUACUUUGCAUACAAACUUAUUUAAAACAUACAAAAAAACAGAAGUGUUUCCUUCUCCCAUGUACGUUGCUAGUUAACACACAAUAACCAGUAUUCAUGCUAUUAUUUUUUAUAAUAAUUAAAGAGAUCGAAAUAACCACUAGCUAAUUGACCAUCAAUUAACUAAUCAAUGUAGUCACUUAGCUUUGAACACUAAGCUGCAUUGAUGUAAAUCUUCAUCCCAGAUUGGCAGUGACCUGGAAGGUUGCAUAUGAAGUAGUUGUCUCCCUUUACUAGCUCGAUUUGGUCACUCCCUGUUCUGAACACUUUAGAACCUUCUGGUGUCUUGCAUUUGUCGUAUCCAGUUUGGUCCACCAAAACCACAUUGUGCAUCUUUGGAUUAUAGCCAAAAUCUGCAGCAAUCAAUUAGUUAUUAUAUAUAAAUAACUCUAAUAUUAACCAUCACUAACAACAUUUUUUUUUUGACAAAAUUUUCCUUAACAAUUUAGUGUUUUUCAAAUAUGCCAUAUUGUAUUGUACCAUUAAUCUUUUGAAACUCAAAAACUAAUUACAAGUUUUUUGUUGUAAUUUUUAUGCACAAAUAUACCCGCAACAUAGUAUUUUUUUCUCCUUGUUUUUUAUUUUUUGGUCAAGUAGUCUAGUGGCUAGAGCUCACACAUUUUAAACAUGGAGAAGUGAGGUGUCCGAAGUUCGAACCCAAACCCCUGCAUAUAAUAUGUAAUACCCCUGCACAUUUUUAAAGUUGCAACUCGCUUUCAUGGAAAAAUUCAAUUUAAACUUACCAAGCACAUCACCAGCAACAAACGAUUUUCCAUUAGGCCACUUCUUAAUGCCGAAGGUCCAUCCCUUAGGUCCUCCAACGGUGUAAGUUUCUGCGUUAGUACUUUUUGCCAGAACCAUAAGGCACAGCAGUGAAAUCACAAUGACCAUGUUCAUAGCUGCACUGCCUCUUCCCUUAGACAUAUUUGAUAUUUUCUAUCUUAGUAUAAAAACUAUAUGUUUCUAGAGCAAAUUUAUAAGUGAAAU